UUUCUGCUUCAUCCCACAACAGGUUUUCUUCUGCUGCCUAGUGAGUAACAAUACACCCCUUCGGGAUGAUUUGUUCUAGAAUAACUGGUGUUAUAGCCAAGGUAUCUGAAUCAUAACCAGCUUUCUAAAGAGAUCCUUCUCCUCCCUGGAUGUUUGAUGCUCCAAAACACCAUCACAAAACACUAUCCUUCUACUUCUGUGGCAUGGAGAGAUUCUGAGCAUGGGUCUCCCCCAUCCCAAGGAUAAAGAGGAGGGAAAGCCAUCGAUGCCUCCUAAGAGCUUGCAGAAUUGGGAUUUGUGUGGAGACAGUGGAGGUUACGAGUUUCACCCAAUAAUUUCCAAAACAGGUCAAACCCUAAUCCACCAUGAGGAACUGCAAGAACCAGCAUCCGUGUUGACACAGUCAGCAGAAAGCUCCAGACCUGGAAACCAAAGCAUAUGGAAAAAACAAAAACCAAAGAGGAAGAAUGACAAACACCCCCAUUCGUGGUGACUCUCCCCAGCUCGAGAGCUGACACUGAAACACCCGGGUUAUCUCAACUCCAUACCCCAGUUGGGCUUGUUUACUACUUCGUGCAACGAUGCAGCCGUGCUGGCUCGCUCUCAAGCUGUUGCAACAGACAGCCACAUCCUGAGAUCCUCUUCCUCCGUCUGUCUGUCUGUCUUCAGACCGAAGCAUGUUCCCAUCUCCUGGGCCAAGGACGGAGAAAAAUUGGGUCAGGAGCAAGGCAGGUCGAUGCUUGCUCCUCUGUGGAUGCUUCGUGCAGCUCCGAACCAAGUCAGGAGAUACAUGCCCAAGAGAGAAGGAGACUGUCAUGGAUUUUGUCAACACAGGGAUCUGAGACUUUCUCUAAACAAUUUUGAGAACAGAGAGUGGUGAAAAACAGGGGCAGGACCAAAGAAAUGCAAACAGUUCCUCUCCAGCUCCUCCUUCUCCCACCAGGAUCAUCUGGUUAGAGGUGAUGUGGCUGGGUACGGGCUCAACAGGCAGAGGGACUGUAACCCUAAGAGUUCCUACAGUGCACCAAAAGACAGGAGAGCCUGAAAAAAAACAUAAUUUUAUUCAAAUAUUGAUAAGUGUAUGAUAUGGUGCCUCAAGAAAAUAAGGUAUGCAGUAUUUUCAGUAAAGCAGAUAACAUUCAUACAAGAAAAACUUAGAAGAAUGUGACUACACAUAAUAUUUAGGUUGAUUUUUAGUUUAUUUCACAACUGCUUUGAACAGAAAAUAUCAUUUUAGAGAGAUUUUUCACUUCCUAUGCUCGUAUCAAAAGGAUUUUCAGAUGCAAAAAGUCACUCAUUUUUCUAAAGAGUGUGGGGACAUGUAGAUCAAAAAGUUGUAUCAUGGCAUUAAAUUUGCUUCAUUACAAACUUUGAUCAUUAUCAGGUUGUUACAAUUCCUCUUGGAGAACAACUUUGAAAAAAUCAAGUCCUGAUAGCAGGGUUUUGAAAUGCGAUCUCGAG
rnacentral:lncRNA from 1 species